GCGCUGCUGAGGAGUCCCACAACAGGACGAAACGGCUGUCCAGUGC
rnacentral:hammerhead_ribozyme from 1 species